rnacentral:rRNA from 1 species
UUGGAGGGCAAGUCUGGUGCCAGCAGCCGCGGUAAUUCCAGCUCCAAUAGCGUAUAUUAAAGUUGUUGCAGUUAAAAAACGCUCGUAGUUGAAUUUCGGGAUUAGUACGUCGGUCGUGCCUUAGGUACGUACUGGUGUUACUGGUUCCUACCUUCUGACGAACCAUCAUGUCAUUAAUUUGGUGUGGUGGGGAAUCAGGACUGUUACUUUGAAAAAACUUAGAGUGUUUAAAAGCAGGCUCGCGCUUGAAUACAUUAGCAUGGAAUAAUGAAAUAGGACG